AGAUAUAUACCUCUGCAACAAAUCAGCUGACUCACUUCUCUCGGAGAGUGUUCUGAAUUCCAGCGGCAAACAAUUUCUAUAGACAUAGUUGAAAGGACUGAAUCCAUAUGACACGCAAGAUGUUCCUAUUGAAAGCGCUUUUUGUCGUAGCCAUAGUUGUCUUCAAUCAAUACAAUUCUGAUGCUGUCCUGCGAAAUGAUGAUGAUCUCACUGAUGUGAAAACAUUUACGCUCCGAUCAGAACGAUAUGGCUACGUUCAUCAUUAUGGUAUUUACGGCAGCCUGGAUCUCCUGAAUUUCUCAUUAACUGCCACCCCUGCUCACUUUCGUGUCACGAAUAUAAACGUCAUUCAGGAAGUUAAAACCCAAAAAUGCUUGCAUAGACUGACAAAUGGAAACCUGCAAAUCGUUUUAAACACAACCUGCGACGGGGAUUUUGUUGACAGAUGGAGAUAUUUCCCUACUGCGGAACAGUUACAAGAUUCAACAGCUGGUGAAAAAUGCCUCAGCCCGUGGAACUACCGCGAGCGGAAACCAGAUGAUCUUAAUGUUACGACGGGUUUAUCAGAAUGUGAUACGUGGAAUCAAAUUAUCAUAGAACUAGUUCCUCCGUCGCAAUCCAAAGAAGAAUCAGUAUACAACUAACUGCCCAUGGUUAUUCAAGAUCACCACAGGAUUAGACACAUCAGCAGCAUAUUGGGACUAGUACGUGCAAUGAUUUGGGUAUCUAUAAUUGGCUAUCAAGGAUAAUUAAUUCUGUAGUUUUUGGAUAUUGUAAUGUGCGCAAUGUAAAACAUCAACUAAAUAAAUAA